UUUUUACAGUCCAAGUCAUAACAUUUCCUACUGACAAACAUGGAACAUUCAAAAUGUUGCGCAUCAACUAAAUAUGUAGUUUGAAAUUAAUCCAAUUUUUUGACCUUCCCUUGACCGUUUAUUAUACUUUUUAACAAAUAUGCUCUUUGUAGUUGGAAGAAAUUCCCCUUUGUUUACUCCUAUGCAUGGUUAGCUCUUGAUAGAUUGUUGAUUUGUUGCCUAGUUACAUGUUGCUGGGAAAAAAAACACAAUAAAAUUGGCAGAAUUAUCUGCCUGGGCAAUGAGCUGAAAAUCUAUCAAAGUAAGAGGAAUAAGGAGAGAAAUUUUGGAGUCUGUGGGAAGAAUUUAAUAAGAUAUUAAAAGAACAUUUCGAUUUCUUGGUAAAGAGAAUUAAACUAGAGAUUGGACCUCUGAGAAGACAGAAUAAUUAGUUACUACUAGACAGUAAACAGGUGGAAACAAUGGACAAGUACAUUGAUGGCAAAGGAUAACUAAGGAAAGAGUAGAGCUCAUUAAGGACCACAGUGGUAACAUGGGAAUGAAGCAGGAGGAUGUAGGUGUAUUGAAAGAUCAUAUCCUUGAAACCUUGCACUUUCCUCUGAGAAACAAGAAACGAUGGCUUUUAUUUGGAAGGGUUUACAAAUGCCACUGCCAAACAUCUCAGAGCAUAGAUGGGCACACCUAUCUCAGUGAUAUGUUACAAAAACUGCAGAGAGUAUUUAAAAGAAAAACUGCAUUGCUUUACAAGAAGUAACAGCAUGACCUGAUAUAUAUGCUGUUAGAGAAGUAGCAGAGUGAAUGCACUACCUUAAUAGGAUUAACCACACUAUUUCCAUGGCACAGGAUGCUAUUACAAAACGCCAUUAUAUUGUUUUGUGGACACUGCAUGUCAGAUUUGCCUGUACCAGAACUCCCUCAAAGCCUAACUGAGUUGCAAUCUUACAUAGAAACCCAUGCAGUUCAACACUCAGAAACCUGCCAACAGUCAUGAUGCCUUCAUACUGCAGCAGUACUACAUUUGAGCCACUGUCAUAGAUCAAAGCUGGCUACAAAGAUUACAAAGUGAAUCCUUUGACCUCAUGUGCAAUGUUCAAUUCAUGCACAUUUGUGCAAUGCACAUACAAUGAAAACAAUGCUGCAACACAAAAUAUGAUGGAGCAGAUAUUCAACUUCAAAAUGAAUUCUGAAACUUCAGCCAACUGCAUCCACCUGAAUAUGAACUCCUACUGAAAAGAAGCUUCACUAGGCACUAACGUUCUGGACUCAGACAAAGAUCAAAAGAAUUAAUAUCCAUAUGAUUAAUUCAUAAGUUAUUCUGAAUUACAACCUGUUUCCUUUCCUUCUAUUCUGUGUGAGUAGGUGUGAUUUCACAUGUGUGUGAGCUCAUCUCCAAGUUUAAUUUCAUAAAUAAACCACCUUUUUGUUUUCACCUUAAAUCCGAGUUUAAGGUUGACCAUUUAAAACUUAAACUUCACAAAGAAGGGUUGGAGGAGGGACAAAAACGUAGUCUCUUUCAAAAGAGAAAAAAAAGAAAAAUUUUAAAAACUAUGCUAUGGAUUAGAGAAGAAAAAUAAAACAAUUCAAUUUGCGUUUCUCAAUUACAGAAAUCGUAUGCUUGUCUGAAAUCAAAUCCAUUACAAACAAGACAAAACAAGACAAAAUCUGACCCAAAUCCAAAUCUAAGAAAUAUAGCUGAAUUUGACACUAAAAAAACUAGAAGCUAAGAGAAAAAAUUCAGUGGCUGAAAAGAUCUUUCAAAACAAUAAACAUUAUGCACCAAAUUUCUUUAAUCUAAUACUACAGUAAUGGUAGACAGAGAAGAGUUAACUGGCAAAUCCUGAGCAUCAUUAAGAUCAGGACAGUUAGAUGUUAUGAUUAGGAGGUAAUAGAGAUUUUUAAAAAUCCUUCGAAGUCAAAAUGAUGUGCUUUAUUCAAGAUGCUGAUCAAACGUUUGGGUCUCAUUCCAUAUCUGGAACAGCUAGAAGAAUACAGAACUGAUUGGAGUACCUUACCAAGAGUAAUAAGCCUAGCCAAGAAAUGACUGAUAAACAUAAUAAAAAGGAAGCAAUAGCCAGAGUUUCAAGAGAGAGAAAGAGAGAGAGAGAGAGAGAGAGUUUCUAAAGAGCACAAGCUUUUCACCAAAAAAAAUGCUGGACAUUAAAAGCUGAACAGAGAAAUAUAUAGAGAG